CACGGGUGUGUAACACGUAUCCAACCUGCCGUCUACUCUUGGACAGCCUUCUGAAAGGAAGAUUAAUACAAGAUGGCAUCAUGAGUCCGCAUGUUCACAUGAUUAAAGGUAUUCCGGUAGACGAUGGGGAUGCGUUCCAUUAGAUAGUAGGCGGGGUAACGGCCCACCUAGUCUUCGAUGGAUAGGGGUUCUGAGAGGAAGGUCCCCCACAUUGGAACUGAGACACGGUCCAA
rnacentral:rRNA from 1 species